UACGAAGGGGGCUAGCGUUGCUCGGAAUCACUGGGCGUAAAGCGCACGUAGGCGGAUUGCUAAGUCAGGGGUGAAAUCCUGGAGCUCAACUCCAGAACUGCCUUUGAUACUGGCGAUCUUGAGUCCGGGAGAGGUGAGUGGAACUGCGAGUGUAGAGGUGAAAUUCGUAGAUAUUCGCAAGAACACCAGUGGCGAAGGCGGCUCACUGGCCCGGUACUGACGCUGAUGCGCGAAAGCGUGGGGAGCGAACAGG
rnacentral:rRNA from 1 species